CCCUUCGGGGUGAUUCUUGUGGAACGAGCGGCGGACGGGUGAGUAACACGUGGGCAACCUGCCUGUAAGAUUGGGAUAACUCGCGGAAACGUGAGCUAAUACCGAAUAAUACUUUUUCUCUCAUGAGGGAAAGUUGAAAGAUGGCUUUUGCUAUCACUUACAGAUGGGCCCGCGGCGCAUUAGCUAGUUGGUAGGGUAACGGCCUACCAAGGCGACGAUGCGUAGCCGACCUGAGAGGGUGAUCGGCCACACUGGGACUGAGACACGGCCCAGACUCCUACGGGAGGCAGCAGUAGGGAAUCUUCCGCAAUGGACGAAAGUCUGACGGAGCAACGCCGCGUGAACGAUGAAGGUCUUCGGAUCGUAAAGUUCUGUUGUUAGGGAAGAACAAGUACCGUUCAAAUAGGGCGGUACCUUGACGGUACCUAACGAGGAAGCCCCGGCUAACUACGUGCCAGCAGCCGCGGUAAUACGUAGGGGGCAAGCGUUGUCCGGAAUUAUUGGGCGUAAAGCGCGCGCAGGCGGUUCCUUAAGUCUGAUGUGAAAGCCCACGGCUUAACCGUGGAGGGUCAUUGGAAACUGGGGAACUUGAGUACAGAAGAGGAGAGUGGAAUUCCACGUGUAGCGGUGAAAUGCGUAGAUAUGUGGAGGAACACCAGUGGCGAAGGCGACUCUCUGGUCUGUAACUGACGCUGAGGCGCGAAAGCGUGGGGAGCGAACAGGAUUAGAUACCCUGGUAGUCCACGCCGUAAACGAUGAGUGCUAGGUGUU
rnacentral:rRNA from 1 species